rnacentral:lncRNA from 1 species
UCCCCGUAAACAAAUCUAUCAACACCAUACGAGUCUCCUAUCUCUCCUCCUCCCCAUGGAAAACAAAUCAAUAUCUCUCAAAUUGGAGCAAACAAGUUGGGGAAUAGAUAUCUCAUGGAUUGAUCUGGUGCGCUCACGCCAAUGAGUCUCUCUCCUAUCUCCUCCCCCACGGGAAAAAAAUCCAUGUCUCUCUCAAAUUGUAGCAAUCAAGUUGGGGAAUUGAUCUGCUGCGCUCAUGAAGUCUAUUCCUCAUCUAGAUCAGGUUCGUCUUCUCACACUUAUUUGUUUUGAUUUUUUUGCUGUUUUAAAAUUGAAUCAGCAAUAUCUUUUCAAUUGUAUUAGUUGAUGGAUUGAUCUGGUGCACUCACGCCAAUGAGUCUCUCUCCUAUCUCUCCUCCCCCAUGGGUAAAAUAUCCAUGUCUCUCUCAUAUUAACGCAACCAAGUUGGGGAAUUGAUCUACUGCGCUCGCGAAAUCUAUUCCUCAUCUAGAUCAGGUUUGUCUUCUCACACUUAUUUGUUUUGAUUGUUUUGCUGGUUUGAAAUUGAAUCGGACAUAUCUUUUCAAGUGUAUUUGGACUCAUGUUUUCUACCAUGUCCUUUGACAGUCCUAGGAUUCAAUCUUUGAUAUUCUCACAUACACUCUAAGGAUACUUCAUGAAGAUCGGUAUGGAGCACAACUAAGCCCAGGAGUCUAGCUUACUGCAACCUCCCCCACGGUGGCACACUUGAGGUCGCUGCUGCCGCCUCACUUUGUUCUCCCCAUAUUGUCGUUGCCUGCUCGAAGCUAGAUCUAUGAAUAUUGAGAGUCCUCAAAGGCCCCGACUGCUCCAAGCUAGAUAUCUAUGAAUAUUGAGAUUCCAUGAAGGCUCGGGCUCCACAGCCUUCCACGACAUCAACCUGGCAACUGUGAGUAAAUUUCUCUUCCGUUUUGAUCAUUGAAGCAUAAUUGAAACUCAGGUUGAGAAUUAGUCCAUCCGUGGUCAUGCACUGCUUCCAGAAAACCAAGUUUUGGAACAGAUGGCCAACAGACCAAAGCGGCUAUGGCCACGUGAUUACCGAUCGCCUCUCAGCUGAGCUAGGAGACCAUGUCGUUCUACUCUGACAAAUCAUAUUGCGUACACACACAAGCACGUGAGAUGAAAGCUGCAAGUUGGUUUCAAAGAUAAGAGGUAUGAUUCUCGAUAAUACUACCAUCACUUGGCAGUUCUUGAUGUUUCUUUAGCUGGACCCUGUUGGUAAAACAGUUUACAUGCACGCUACCAAUAGUUUACAUGCACGCGUAGGUGUGUCCGAUUUGCAUUGCUAUCUGUUUGAUGGCCAGGUGAAGGGGAACUAAAACUAAUGCAUGCUCUUUUCGUAUAUUAUUCUGAAAUUAUUGAAACCUAUUAGAUUUAUUUUUAUUCUGGGAUCAAAAGGAGUAAGAGAUUUAUUUUUAUUCUGGAACUAAAAAUAAUGCAUGCUCCUUUCUUAUAUUCAUUAUUUUUGACUUUAUUUGGAACAUUCCAUUCCUGGAUGCAUAAAAAAAGAAGUACGUAAAGAAUAGUGUACAAAAUAUUAAUAUCCUACACAUCUCCAUGCAGAUGGCCGUUCUAUCUUACUACCCACCCGAGAAAUAUACAAAGUAUCCCUCCAUAGGGUUGCUUCUAUAGAAUGUCGGCCACUCUGGAUGCCCUAAAUACACAGGAUGUCACCUAUAUUAUUCAUGCUCUCUCUAAUAGUUGAUUUUAUUAUACUCACUCAAUACCAAAAUAUACUGCAUAUUAUUCUUCCUCACCUAAUUAAAGAAGGCUUUGUGUCUAAAGCAAAAGCUUAUCUAUCUUUCAGUUCCAGACAAUUCAUGCAACAAAUGGAAUCCUACCUAGCCACCUCUCUGAUUCCACCCUACGUGACCUUGCCAUGAUCCAUCUACACAUACAGCUUCUUCCAAUCUUCCUUUCUUGCUUUCCGCCAUCACGGCAGCCGUGAAUCAACUAGCCCACUACUGUUGGUACAGAUCCCAUGUCCAGCACCAUCUCUAUCAUGAUUCGGUCUCCCUUGCCUAUAUUCUUGGACCCUUCUUGCUGUUUCAUAGGUCCACGGUCACGCAAAACAGGUUGUACACCAUCUUCUUUGAAUCCAAUUCGUACAUCAUCUACUUCCACCCCAAUUUAUGGAGAUUAGAUGUAUGCUGCAACAUGAUACUGUAAAAUCUACGCUUCUUUCUAUUAGCUAAUUAGUUUUCUUUCUACAGUUUACAUGUGCUAGGUGACGUCUGUGAUAGUUUUAGGAGUGCAAAACUGCUACAAUUAGGCUUUGUUAAAUCUCUCCACUGAAUACUCUUACCUUAUCCAUCCCUCAUCGUGUACAUGCGAUAAUUAAUUAUCUCACAGGCAAGCUGAAAUGAGCCGACGAGUUGCGUGUCCAUACAUGCAGCUAAUGUUCUGAUUUAUCGUUUAAUGGGUUUAUUCCAAAUGUGUGUGCAGUAAUGCGAUUCAAUUUUUAUCGCAGAUUUACAGUUUAAUGCGUUUUUCUCAGGAACACAGUGUUCAGGUAGUUUUUGAGGCUUCGAGCCACUAUUGGCAGAUACUAUUUAAUCUUUGCUUGGGUUCCCCGUUAAUAGGAACUUCAAUUUUGGGAUUUUGUUGAUUAUGUAAUACACCAAAUAAAUAUUAGAUAGGGAUAAUUCAGUCCUUUGUAUAUAUCUCACUGGAUCUUCCAACUUUCGUGUCAAUUUACUGGUCAUCUUAUAUUCUAAGAGAAGCCAAUCAAAAGCUAUCAGGUCAAGAUUAAAGGAAAAUAAAUAUUGUUAGAUUCCCCUAAUCAAUCACGAGACAUGGAGUAUCACUGUGUGACUGUAGCUUCACCUCGGCGUUCAAUUGAGACCUCGAAGGCUCGACUAAUCCAUGUGAUUUAAUGUCGACGGGUUGCUCAUUGCUUGAGCAUGAACUCCAAUUGAGAAGCUGUUGUGCCAGUGUUGUGCCAUGAACGCCCAACGUCACCCGUCCCAUAUUAUGAUGCAGUUUGUUAUCAUUUACGCCCUGGAGGAGACACGCUGGUAUUCCAGUACGUAUGUUUUCAUUGUUUGGAUCGAGUUUGUAAGAUUAUCCAAUCAACAUAGCUAGGCUGUACAUGAGGUUUGUGGUAGGGAGUAGGUACACAAGAUUAUCUCUACAUAGUUCCUAAUACCUUCCCUUAAUAUAUUUUAUGUCAGCGACGCUAGCUCGAAGUAGAUGGCAAUUUCUGCAUAGAAUUUGAAUUCCUAGGUCUCUUCUUUGAAUUGCAUGCUCACUCAAUCUUCCAAUUGGAUAUGUGCAUCUUCCAAGAAAAAAUGGCACGGUCUGCUCGGUGAUAAUUUUAUAUAUGCAUUAAUAGAUAAAGAAGGUGGCGCCUUGCAGUAUUUAUCUGAAUCAGCUAGGAGAUUGAAAAAUGAUGAUCAAGUUAACCUUUGGGUUGUUUUUGCUCAUAUAUCUACUUGGUUAGUUUUAAUGUUGAUCCUUGGUUAAAUUGAUGUACUAAAUAAUUAAGAAUAUAUGCAAUCUGAUUUUGUACAAUUUAUUUCUUCGGUCGUAUGCAACAUGGGCUUGCUUAGUAAGACCAAGAAACAUCCAAUAAAUUAUCCAUACUAAUUAACUCGAUGAUACUAAACUGUAUGAUGUUGUGGUUGAUAUCUAUGUUAUACAUACAUGUGCAGACUUUAGUAGACAUGCAUCGUGACUAGAUAAAGUCAUGUCUGUUUUCUUUACUUUAAGUAGAAAAUAUGGCCUAACAUACAUAUAUUUCCAUUUUCAUAUAAUUGGAUAUAUUAAAAGGAAUAAUCAUUAUGUAAGCUCUAAUAUUUUAUGCACAGUAAACUGAAGCACCUCUUCUAUUUUUAGUUUAAAGUAGACAGGUCGUUUUGGAGAAUUUCAUAGUUCCUUCACAACUUCUCUCUGUUUUUUAUGAGCAAAAACUAAGGUUUUAUUUACUUUCAUAUGUUCUUUCAAUUUUAUGCUCACUCAGUGAUCCAAUUGGAUGUGAAUAUCUUGCAGGCGAAAAAAUAUGAUGUGUUAUGAUUUAAUUAUUUUUGAUAGUGUUGUUUGCAGAUGUUGUGUGUCUAUACAUUUGAACAGCCUUUGUAAGCAUUUAUUCGAAGCAACAAGUGGGUUCAAGAAAUUAUGCUCAUGUUAAAACCUCAGUAGUGUUUCCUCAAUUUUUUCUAAUUGGUUAUUUUUAAUGUUGUUUCUUUGUUCAUUUAUUUAUUAAAUAAUUAAUAACAAUGUGAGUUGAUUUUUGUACGGUUUAUUUAUUCUAUUGUAUAGAGGUUGGACUAUCUUAGAGUAAUAGCUCCUAUGUAAUUGAAAUGAGAUCCAGUAAUACAGCAAACUUCCAAGACAAUUUAUAUGUACUUAUUGAUUCCAUGAUAUUAAAUUGUAAAUUUUUGUCUGCAUUAGGUGCAACAAUUCAAUCAUGUUAGCUCUUACUUCUUUUCUAUUUCUGAUUAGAUCAAUUAAUUAGUAGUAGACGAAAACGUAAGAUAUUUAUCUAUAAUUCGAUAUACAUAGUGAUGUUGAAAUUAAUAUUUUGUCAAGUGUAAGGUGUUUCCUUGCAAUUCUGUUAGAUAACAAUGGAUUGUUUUGGGCUAUCUAUGUAUGAUUUUAUGGAUCAUGAAGUAUAUUCCAUAAUUAUCACCAUGAGCUCUUUGCCAAAAAAACUUUAUAAAAGUAUUGUUACUAGGAUUUUAAAAUCUGAGAGACAAAGAAAUCAUUCAAUGGAAUCUCAAAAUAACUAGCCCGUGCGUAUGCAUGGGUUGACGACUAGUGAAAAUAAUU